rnacentral:rRNA from 1 species
GAUGAACGCUAGCUACAGGCUUAACACAUGCAAGUCGAGGGGAAACGACAUUGAAGCUUGCUUCGAUGGUCGUCGACCGGCGCACGGGUGAGUAACGCGUAUCCAACCUGCCUCUGACCAAGGGAUAACCCGUCGAAAGUCGGCCUAAUACCUUAUGCAGUCGUCGGAAGUCAUCUGAUGACGACGAAAGAUUUCAUCGGUGAGAGAUGGGGAUGCGUCUGAUUAGCUUGUUGGCGGGGUAACGGCCCACCAAGGCAACGAUCAGUAGGGGUUCUGAGAGGAAGGUCCCCCACAUUGGAACUGAGACACGGUCCAAACUCCUACGGGAGGCAGCAGUGAGGAAUAUUGGUCAAUGGGCGAGAGCCUGAACCAGCCAAGUAGCGUGCAGGAUGACGGCCCUAUGGGUUGUAAACUGCUUUUAUGCGGGGAUAAAGUGAGGGACGUGUCCUUCAUUGCAGGUACCGAAUGAAUAAGGACCGGCUAAUUCCGUG